rnacentral:rRNA from 1 species
AAACUUGGGCUAAUACCGCAUGAGCCCUGAGGGGGAAAGCGGGGGAUCUUCGGACCUCGCGCUAAGGAAAGAGCCUACGUCUGAUUAGCUAGUUGGUAGGGUAAAGGCCUACCAAGGCGACGAUCAGUAGCUGGUCUGAGAGGACGACCAGCCACACUGGGACUGAGACACGGCCCAGACUCCUACGGGAGGCAGCAGUGGGGAAUUUUUCGCAAUGGGGGCAACCCUGACGAAGCAAUGCCGCGUGGAUGAAGAAGGCCUUCGGGUUGUAAAGUCCUUUCGUGGGGGACGAAAAGGCGGGUCCUAAUACGAUCUGCUGUUGACGUGAACCCAAGAAGAAGCACCGGCUAACUCCGUGCCAGCAGCCGCGGUAAUACGGGGGGUGCAAGCGUUAAUCGGAAUCACUGGGCGUAAAGGGUGCGUAGGCGGUACGUUAGGUCUGUCGUGAAAUCCCCGGGCUCAACCUGGGAAUGGCGGUAGAAACCGGCGCACUAGAGUAUGGGAGAGGGUGGUGGAAUUCCAGGUGUAGCGGUGAAAUGCGUAGAGAUCUGGAGGAACAUCAGUGGCGAAGGCGGCCACCUGGCCCAAUACUGACGCUGAGGCACGAAAGCGUGGGGAGCAAACAGGAUUAGAUACCCUGGUAGUCCACGCCCUAAACGAUGAAUACUAGAUGUUUGGUACCUAGCGUACUGAGUGUCGUAGCUAACGCGAUAAGUAUUCCGCCUGGGAAGUACGGCCGCAAGGUUAAAACUCAAAGGAAUUGACGG